AUGGAAAAUGCCUGCACAAACCUCAACCAGGUGGCCCGCGCGGUGCGCCUGCUCAAGAUCGAUGGGUUCAGCCUGACCGCGGGCAUGGGCGGCGACUACUGCCUCAAGUCCAUAUGGACUGUCGAUGGCGAAGCCCGCACACAGUGGGGCGUGAGGGCGAGCAUGGCCUGUCAGCUCGUAGAUCUCAGCAGGGAGCUUGAGCCGUAUCACGAGUAUGGCGUGUCAGAGACCUUCUAUCAUCCCCAAGACUUCGGGGCAUUGGUCUUCAUGGACAGAAAUAAGAUACCAUCUGGUUAUAUCAAGGAUGAUAUGUUGACCCUGCGAUGCGCGAUCACGGUACUCAAGGAAUUACCAGCACCAACCAUCCCAGCUGAAGAAGUGAUCACCCAACCUUCCACCAACUUGCACCAGCACCUUGGCGAACUCCUGCAGAGCGAGAUGGGAGCCGAUGUCACGUUUCUUGUGUCUUAUGAGUCGUUUGCUGCACACAAGUACAUACUUGCCGCAAGGUCUCCGGUUUUCAAGGCCCAGUUCUUCGGAGACAUGAAGGAGAAGUGCUCGGCACGCGUGGAGAUCAAGGAUAUGGAGGUGGCGGCGUUCAGGGCCAUGCUCCACUUUAUUUACACUGACACGGUGCCUGAGCUUGAUAGACCGCUCGAGGAGGUGACGACGUUGGCUCAACAUUUGCUUGUCGCCGCUGACAUGUAUGGACUUGAGAGGCUCAAGCUGAUUUGUGAAAUAAAGCUCUGUGAUGGCAUCACUGUCGACACCGCAGCGACCACUCUUGCUUUGGCGGAGCAGCACAAUUGCUCCAAGCUCAAGGCCAAAUGUGUCGAGUUUAUCGUCAGCACACCUGCUGUUCUUGAGGCUGUGUUGGCGACAGAUGGGUAUAAGCACCUCGAAGCAAGCUGCCCUUUGGUCCUGACUGAGCUUCUCAAGUCUGUCCAUGUGAGUAAGAGUCCAUGUGUGGUGUAG
rnacentral:rRNA from 1 species